GCUGACACAUCCCUGCCAAUCUCCGGCAGACCCUCCCUCCCAGACCCUCCUACUUCCUGGACAGCAUCCAUGUUGAAGGCAGCUUCAACAUGGAUGCUGUCCAGGAUGUGGGAGAGUCUGGGAGGGAGGGUCUGCCGGAGAUUGGCAGCGAUGUGUUAG
rnacentral:miRNA from 1 species